rnacentral:lncRNA from 1 species
GUAUCAGAAUCCGAUGCCACUGGCUCUUCUGAUGAUGGGUCUGAGGGUUCAAGUUCAACAGAUGAUUCAGACUCGGGAUCAGAGUCUGAAUCGAUUUCUGAAAGUGACAGAGAUCGGAGACAUCGAAAGCGAAGGAGGCACUGAUGAUAGAUAACAGCCUCAAAUGAAGUUCCUGCUGAGGUUAGGUCAUCCUGUCUACCCUGGAAAUAUGUACGAGUGGAGAUGUAUUCAUUUGUUUUUUCUGAUGAGCUCCUGUUAAAAUAUUUACGAGUUGAGGUUGUGAGACGUGUUCAUUUACUUUGUCUGAUGAAUUCUUGUAUAUGUUGUGGUCUCUAAGUUUUAUAUGCUUCUCAAGGAUUUUAGAAGUAGCCAAUAGUUACUUUGGGUGUCCACUCAUCUCUUAAACUCACAUUUGUAAAAAAUAAAAAUAAAAAACAAUAUACCCGAUAAAAUAAAAUAACCAAAAUAUCCUUAAAAGAUUCAAGGAGGUAAUUUGAUC